GAGGUAGGUAGAAGCAAAGCAAUCCUCCUCCAGAAGAAAUGAGUAAUGUCUUGAAUGAUCAAAUCAAACUAUUGAAGAGAAUAAUUUGAAAUAAAUAUUGGACUCUUGCACUAUCUAUGAUGUAGAGAGAUUUAAACAAGAAACAUUUUUUUGAGACACCAUGUGGCCUCAUAAUCUUUUCAGAGAAAAUAAAUCUUCACUUGCCACUUGCAAUAUAUUUGCAGUUUAGGGCACUGGGUAAAAAAAAUACAAAAAGGGGCUUAAAUGCCAACUUGCAGCCUGCCCCACUCACCCACAUCAGAUAUACAUGAUUGAAAAUUUGAAACAUGGUACACAAAUGACAAAACCAUGUGACUUGAAGUUGAGUUCAGUUCUUCACUAACAUAAUUGAACUUUUUUGAGCAACCUAACAGGAUUUGAAACACAUCACUAUGGGAAGAGAGACAUAGAGAUCUACACCAACCAAUGCUUCCUAAUCAAAGGAAGAAUUUACAAUUACUAUUAUAAAUAAGAACCCCAAUAAGAAUUUACCAUCUUUUAUUUAGCUAUCCACUUUCUUUAUUCCAGCAUCAAAUGGAUUUCUUCUUGCUUUGUCAGGUACUCCCACUAGGGUAGACACAACCAUUAUAACUGGGAUUGUUGGAUGUGAGUGUAGCAGUCUGAGAGAAAUCACAAUCCCAUGGAUUCUUGCCAGAAGUUUGGUAGUAGAGGUUCAUGGCAAAAGCAGCAUGUGAAACCAAAGUAUUUGGCUCGAAACAGGCACCUCCUGGUUGAAUCGGGCUGCAAUCUAUGCCUUGACCACAAGCAUAGUCAAGACUUCCCUGCAAUUGUGCAUCAGAAACACCAGCCUUGGGCAUACACCAACCUGCUCCUGUUGGUUUUACUGACGGACUUGCUGGAGUUUGGGGCGUCGAUGGAGUCAGGCUACUGCUCUUUGAGAGACCAACAUCAUAUGUCAUGGAAAGGUCAGGUUUGAAAAGGCCAAAUGCUCUUUCGGAGGCAGGCCCAGGCUUCAAAUCCUCAUCAUAGAGUGCAAAGAGAUAUGUAUCUACAGAUUUUCCAGGCAUUAGUGGGGUGCCAACCAAUGAUCUAAGGUGAGCAAUCAAAUUGCCAUUAUAGGCUCUUGCAUUCUCAAUACUGGGUCCAACUUCAUUACUGUCACCGCGGUAUGGCCACCCAGUUUCAGCAACCAAAAUCUCAAUAUCCUUGAAUCCCAAGGCAUUCAAGGCAGAUCGCACAGCAUCCACCUGAGCGUCAAACAUGUUCAUGUAAAUAAUCCCAUUGCCGGAGUCGACUCGUCCCGAGUUGGGUUGAAACAGGCAGAAAGCCAAGGUCUCUGGUCUGGGGUCGCUCUGGUAAGCGAAAAAGGGGUAAGGGUUGAUAGCAAGAGGUGACCCGUUGUCUCUCUGGAAUUGGAGUAACCCUCUCAUGGUAUCUUGAUAAGACGGGUUGAAUAGCCCGGAAGAGGGUGGGUCAGACUGAGACAAGACGGCCAUGGAAUGAACGGUGGAGACUUUGACCUUUCCACCAAGUGAGGCAGCUUUAAGUGCGUUUUCCAUAUUUUGCAUUGCAGGUAAUAGCUGAGAGAUCAGGUUUUGGUCUCCAGAUAACAAUACCUCGUUACCAACGGUGACGAUAAUGAUUUUGCUAGCUGGGUAGUAAGGCAAGAUGUUGGCGUUGAUCCACUGAGUGGCUGAGUUGGGAUCAGAAGCCAAAGCAGGGAUAUCACUAUUUGCAGCUCCAAUGACAAUCCCUAUCCCAGUAUUGGCAAGAGCUUUGAGAACCGCUGGAUCGGCCCCGUAGAGCCUCACUUUCUGUAUUGACGUCGAUUGUAGAAGCUUAGCGGUGGCAGCCGGUGGCGGAAGGUUGUCAGCAACUAAACCAUAGUUAAUGCCAAUAAAUGACUGCGACCCUGCAAGAAAAAGAUUUGAAACAAUCAAAUUGUCAAAAGAAGGAAGCAAACUUCGUUUUCCAGCGUAUUUGGAGUUAAGAAAAGCAUAUCCAUGGUGCCUUUAUGAUCAGUGAAACUUGGCAAACACAGAGAGAGUUGCAAAAAAAAGACUUGGGAAGUAAAGAAUUCUCAUCAACAAAAUGAAAGGAGAAAAUUGGAACUUACUGGCUAUCAAGAAGAAAGCUUGAAGGAGGAGACAGAGAAAGAUAAGUCUUGAAAACGCCAUGUAUCUAGUUCUUGUUAUUUCUCUUUCUCGUUACUGAUGUUGGAAAUGGGUUUUGAGGUUGUGAAUGCUUGAAAGGUUUAAAAGGGCAAAAAGUAGGUGGCAACUGUAGAAGAGAUUGUGAGGUGACAGAGACAAGCGUACGGUGCAUCAUUACUCGGUUUGAACUUACACUUGGUUUAGACAGGUGGAAAAGGGAGAGGGAAGAAAAUAAAUAGAAAAAAAAUAAUUUUAAAGAGAUUUUUUUAUUGUUUGGAUAAAAAAAAU
rnacentral:misc_RNA from 1 species